AGACCCGAAACCCGGUGAUCUAGCCAUGGGCAGGUUGAAGGUUGGGUAACACUAACUGGAGGACCGAACCGACUAAUGUUGAAAAAUUAGCGGAUGACCUGUGGCUGGGGGUGAAAGGCCAAUCAAACCGGGAGAUAGCUGGUUCUCCCCGAAAGCUAUUUAGGUAGCGCCUCGUGAAUUCAUCUCCGGGGGUAGAGCACUGUUUCGGCUAGGGGGCCAUCCCGGCUUACCAACCCGAUGCAAACUGCGAAUACCGGAGAAUGUUAUCACGGGAGACACACGGCGGGUGCUAACGUCCGUCGUGAAGAGGGAAACAACCCAGACCGCCAGCUAAGGUCCCAAAGUCAUGGUUAAGUGGGAAACGAUGUGGGAAGGCCCAGACAGCCAGGAUGUUGGCUUAGAAGCAGCCAUCAUUUAAAGAAAGCGUAAUAGCUCACUGGUCGAGUCGGCCUGCGCGGAAGAUGUAACGGGGCUAAACCAUGCACCGAAGCUGCGGCAGCGACACUAUGUGUUGUUGGGUAGGGGAGCGUUCUGUAAGCCUGUGAAGGUGGCCUGUGAGGGUUGCUGG
rnacentral:rRNA from 1 species